rnacentral:rRNA from 1 species
AUACGUAGGUGGCAAGCGUUGUCCGGAUUUAUUGGGUUUAAAGGGCGCGUAGGCGGAGAGGUCAGUCAGUAGUGAAAUAUUGUGGCUUAACGCUAAGAUUGCUAUUGAUACUGUAUUUCUUGAGUACAAGUGAGGUAGGCGGAAUUUGUAGAGUAGCGGUGAAAUGCUUAGAUAUUACACAGAACACCGAUUGCGAAGGCAGCUUACUAAAUUGUUACUGACGCUGAGGCACGAAAGCGUGGGGAUCAAACAGGAUUAGAUACCCUGGUAGUCCACGCCGUAAACGAUGAUCACUGGUUGUUAGCGAUACACAGUUAGCGACUGAGCGAAAGCAUUAAGUGAUCCACCUGGGGAGUACGUCGGCAACGAUGAAACUCAAAUGAAUUGACGG